GGCAGUAGUUAACAAUAGCACCUGGGUUGCAUUCAGGAGGUAUCUUUAUAGAUCUGUCUUA
rnacentral:tRNA from 1 species